CGGGGGCCCAGGGUGGAGAGCGCGAGGGCCUGGCCCAGGCACGGCCGGCGCCUCCGCCCUCGAGGAGGGCGUCACCUCAGCUCCCCCCGGCGGCGGAGCCGGCGGGCUCAGGCGGGCGCGGCUGAGGGGAGCGGACCGCGGGGGGCGGGAUGACUGCGCCCAAGGCCUUUGCGGGCCUCAGCCGGCCCCAGAGGAAGGGAAACCCGUCGAGCGGUUUGGUGCGUGUGAAGCGCGACAUGGCGAGGAAGCGGACAAGCCCGGGUGGCCCGGCGUGUAGAGGGAAGGGGGCGGGGCUAGACGCGGCCUGGACAACUACUAGAGCGCCUCGGGCUGUGCUGCUCGAGACUACAUUUCCCAGGGCGACCCGCGCGGAGCGGGCGGGAAAGAGAGCGUUUCGGGUCCAGUGCGCAGGUGCGAAAGCCAUCUUUGGUUAUAUAAGGGAGGUUCAGGAAGCCAUUCGUCCUUUCGCGUCUGCGGCUCGGAGUGUGGUGCUUCUGCUGGUUGCAGUCAGGCUUCAUACGCUAUUGUCCUGCCCGUUAGAGCAGCCAGCGGGUACAGAAUGGAUUUUGGAAGAGGGAGUCACCACUGGACCUCCAAGGAAGCCACGUGCAGACGUCUACAACCUUCGAUCUCCUGACGAGUUUAUUGUUGGCCAAAACCAGGCUUUGAUUGAACCAGGAUGAAUGCGGGUGUUGGAAGUAGAAUAUAUAUAUACAUAUAAAAUUGGUUGGGAGCCACGUGUACCAGUGUGUGUUGAUCUUGGCUUGAUUCAGUCUGCCUUGUAACAGAAACUGGCGAUGGAAUAUGAGAGGAGCCCUCUGGAAAGAAAAGGACAGACCCUGUGCUUUCAUGAAAGUGAAGAUCUGGCUGAACCAGUUCCACAAGGUUACUGUAUACAUAGCCUGAGUUUAAAAGGCUGUGCCCACUUCAAGAAUGUCAUUGUUAGACUUUGGUGAAAUUUCUAACUGCCUACCUGGCUAAAGAAAAUAAAAUCUUUUAAAUCAAAA
rnacentral:antisense_RNA from 1 species